GCCUCAUCCAGUAUGGUAGUUAUGACACUCGAUUUGUAAUCGAGAGGGCUCGGGUUCGAAUCCCGACUAAGGCA